AUUGAACGCUGGCGGCAUGCCUUACACAUACAAGUCGAGCGGCAGCGCGGGGGCAACCCUGGCGGCGAGCGGCGGACGGGUGAGUAAUGCAUCGGAACGUGUCCUUUUGUGGGGGAUAACCAGUCGAAAGACUGGCUAAUACCGCAUGAGCUCGAGAGAGGAAAGCGGGGGAUCCCAAGGGAAACUGAGGGACCUCGCGCGAGAGGAGCGGCCGAUGCCCGAUUAGCAGUUGGUGAGGUAAAAGCUCACCAAGGCGACGAUCGGUAGCUGGUUUGAGAGAACGACCAGCCACACUGGGACUGAGACACGGCCCAGACUCCUACGGGAGGCAGCAGGUGGGGUAAUUUUGGACAAGUGGGCGCAAGCCUGAUCCAGCCAUGCCGCGUGUGUGAAGAAGGCCU
rnacentral:rRNA from 1 species